rnacentral:rRNA from 1 species
AGCAGUACCGCGGUAAUACGUAGGUGGCAAGCGUUGUCCGGAAUUAUUGGGCGUAAAGGGCUCGCAGGCGGUUUCUUAAGUCUGAUGUGAAAGCCCCCGGCUCAACCGGGGAGGGUCAUUGGAAACUGGGAAACUUGAGUGCAGAAGAGGAGAGUGGAAUUCCACGUGUAGCGGUGAAAUGCGUAGAGAUGUGGAGGAACACCAGUGGCGAAGGCGACUCUCUGGUCUGUAACUGACGCUGAGGAGCGAAAGCGUGGGGAGCGAACAGGAUUAGAUACCCCCGUAGUCCCUGUCUCUUAUACA